ACAUGAGGGUUCUGGGCACUGAACUGAGGUCAUUAAGCUUGGUGGCGAGCACCUUUGCCUUCUGAGCCAUCUUGGUGGCCCUCUUUUUUUGUCUCUGACAUUUCUUGAGCCAGGGCUUCAGUUUGUAGCUCAGGUUGACCUUGAACCAUGAUCCUCCUGCCUCAGUCUGCAAAAUGCUGGGAUGAUAAGUUUAAUAGUUCUUCAAGACAAAGUGUUGAGAUGCAGUUGAAAUGGCAGUGGUUGGUAUUGCAGAAGCAAAAGUCCUCAGCUCCAAGAUAACUGGGAGACUCCAGCUGUCAGGGCCGAGGAGAUGAUGGACUCAGAUGAUGGUCUGGGAACCCUAGGACACAAGAAGAUGUCCCUGGUACUGGAGGAUGUCCUAACCAACAUACUGUCCCGAAAAUUGCAGGGUGUAAAGAAUGCAUGGUCGCUGGGCGUGGUGGAGCACGCCUUUUGUCCCAGCACUCGGGAGGCAGAGGCCAGCCUGGUCUACAUAGUGAGUUCAGGUCAGCUGGGACUACAGGGAGACCCUGUCUCAAAGACAAACAACAACAACACGGUCCCCUGCAGCCCGGUGAUCUGAGGGACUGCACACCUGAAAGAGACAUCUCUGCUUUUGGUCGUUCUCUGGGUCCGAGGGCAGCAAUGCCAGGUUCCAAAGGUGGCAGGAAGUUCUCUGGACCUCCGGCCUAGGCCUGCUGUCUCUCCACCUCAGCCUAGGAGCCUAGGAGGCUGGAGCUGGGCGCUCGGGAUGGCGCUCUCACCAGGGGCCCGGACUCAGGUGCACAUGAAACUGGACUUCACUUAGGAGCCCUGAGGUAGCGUCCGUCGAUUUGGGACUGGAAGCUGUGAGGGGUCCCCCACCCCAGUCCUGCCUGCAUUGUUCCAUCAGCACCCAAUAAAUGUUCAGGAACAGAGCUUGGUUUUGUGACGCGGUACUGUGAAUCUGGCCAGGGCGGUCCUGCAGGUCUGUGAGAAGGAAAACCUUUUCUCUCCAUGCUGGACCCUCACUCUG